rnacentral:misc_RNA from 1 species
UCCGGUUUGGCACCGGCAGUCCCCCUAGAGUGCCCGGCUUUACCCGCUGGUAACUAGGGGCGGGGGUUGCGCUCGUUGCGGGACUUAACCCAACAUCUCACGACACGAGCUGACGACAGCCAUGCAGCACCUGUGCACGGGUCCCGAAGGAGGCGCGGGCUUUCACCCGCGUUUCCCGUGCAUGUCAAGCCCAGGUAAGGUUCUUCGCGUUGCGUCGAAUUAAACCACAUGCUCCACCGCUUGUGCGGGCCCCCGUCAAUUCCUUUGAGUUUCAGCCUUGCGGCCGUACUCCCCAGGCGGGGCACUUAAUGCGUUAGCGCCGGCACCCGGGGGGUCGCUCCCCCAGGCACCUAGUGCCCAUCGUUUACGGCGUGGACUAC